CGGUGAUUUGGGGGAUAGUCUAAAUUCCCAGCCUCCCUGAACUGUCCAAAGUGGGGAACACUUCAACGUGGAUAUCUGUCGGACAGGUCAGAACUGAAAUGGGCCGAAAGUGCCUCCAUGAAUUUCAUUUUAAUGGAACUUAGAAGUGGCUUAAAGCAGGCGCCGGUCUCCAGCCCGUUAAUCAGCAGAUUGUUAAUGAAGGCCCGAGUUCAAAGACACAGAGAGGGAGAGGAGGCACACAGUGGUAGAUGGGGAGGAGUUCUGGACCAACUGUCUGUUUGUCAAAACAUGUCCACCCGUCUGUCUUCUCCUCUGAUGUGCGCUCCCCGGUGAGGACCACAACACCGCAUUUUCUCUUUGGGUUUUCCCUUUCAUGUUCCAUUAAAUGUGAACGAGAAGGAGACAGAGAGACAGCCAGAGAGGGAGAUUAAUUACAUGUUUCAAUAAUGGAGAUUAAUUAGUAUUAUUUAAACAUUGACAGUAUCAACUAGACGUCAAGCAUUUUGCGAGGCACACACUAGACUUCUCCUUUUAAUUGGUAAAUUCAUGUCUCUCCGUGGCAGCCUAAAAGUCAUCUCUUCACAUCUUUUCCCUCCGUGCACUUUUCCUUUAAUAUUGUACAUCAACUCAGCUGGCAUCCAAAAUUGUUGCUUUCAUGUAUAUCAUUUUUGUGUUUAUUCCUACCUUUUAUUAAGCUUGCAAAGUUGAAUAAACUUCCAGACAUUUUAAUUGUACUGCUUUUCCAGUACAUAGACAAAGCAUAGCUUAUUAUGAACAACUAUUUCAAAGUAAAACAUGGCCAAGUCAGAAGCACAAAAUAGUCAAACCCAUCCCCUCCCUUUCCUUCUCCUGAUGGAUGCCAACUCAACAAAUAUUAG